rnacentral:rRNA from 1 species
GACGAACGCUGGCGGCGUGCUUAACACAUGCAAGUCGAACGGAAAGGCCCUGCUUUUGUGGGGUGCUCGAGUGGCGAACGGGUGAGUAACACGUGAGUAACCUGCCCUUGACUUUGGGAUAACUUCAGGAAACUGGGGCUAAUACCGGAUAGGAGCUCCUGCUGCAUGGUGGGGGUUGGAAAGUUUCGGCGGUUGGGGAUGGACUCGCGGCUUAUCAGCUUGUUGGUGGGGUAGUGGCUUACCAAGGCUUUGACGGGUAGCCGGCCUGAGAGGGUUACCGGCCACAUUGGGACUGAGAUACGGCCCAGACUCCUACGGGAGGCAGCAGUGGGGAAUAGUGCACAAUGGGCGGAAGCCUGAUGCAGCAACGCCGCGUGCGGGAUGACGGCCUUCGGGUUGUAAACCGCUUUCGCCUGUGACGAAGCGUGAGUGACGGUAAUGGGUAAAGAAGCACCGGCUAACUACGUG